rnacentral:rRNA from 1 species
GGCUAACGCUGGCGGCGUGUCUUAGCCAUGCAAGUCGAGCGGACUUAUGGGGUAACUUAUAAGUCAGCGGCGGACGGCGGAGUAACACGUAGCUAACCUACCCUCUGGACGGGGAUAACCUACCGAAAGGUGGGCUAAUACCCGAUGUAGUCAUCCUGUAUAGGGGUGAUGAAAGGUGGGCUUCUGUUUACAAGCUCAUGCUGGAGGAGGGGGCUGCGGCCUAUCAGGUAGUUGGUAGGGUAAUAGCCUACCAAGCCGAUGACGGGUAGCCGGCCUGAGAGGGUGACCGGCCCGAGGGGCACUGAGAUACGGGUCCCACUCCUACGGGAGGCAGCAGGCUAGAAAUUUGGGCAAUGGGGGAAACCCUGACCCAGUGACGCCGCGUGCAGGAAGGAGCCCUUCGGGGUGUAAACUGCUGUCGUGUAGGGAGAAGGGUACUAAGGUGAACAAUCUUAGUACUUGACGGUACUACAGGAGAAGCCCAGGCUAACCUCGUGCCAGCAGCCGCGGUAAAUGCGUACU